GCUCGUAAGGUCUAGUGGUAUGACGUUUGCCUCACAUCUUCACGAUUUUCAUCAUCUGAAGUACGUCGCGACAGGUCCCAGGUUUGAUCCCUGGUGUGAGCA